rnacentral:rRNA from 1 species
UACGUAGGGUGCAAGCGUUUGUCCGGAAUUAUUGGGCGUAAAGAGCUCGUAGGCGGUUUGUCGCGUCUGCUGUGAAAACCCGAGGCUCAACCUCGGGCCUGCAGUGGGUACGGGCAGACUAGAGUGCGGUAGGGGAGAUUGGAAUUCCUGGUGUAGCGGUGAAAAUGCGCAGAUAUCAGGAGGAACACCGGUGGCGAAGGCGGGUCUCGUGGGCCGUAACUGACGCUGAGGAGCGAAAGCGUGGGGAGCGAACAGG